ensembl:lncRNA
CUUUUUCUUCCACUAACUCAUUUCAGGUUUCCAGCAUGUGGUUUAUUUAACUUUCAUGCCUCAUCUUUCCUGAGCUUCCUAAAGAAGACUGACAGACAGAAUGAGUUUGUGUGUGUGUGUGUGUGUGUGUGUGUGUGUGUGUGUGUGUGUGUGUAACUUUGAGUGGUCAAAACUUUGACCAUAGGUAAAGCCAUGUUAGGAAGUUUUGGAUUUAUUUGUAGGUUUAUGUGCUUUUGGUGUUAAACAGUAUUCAUUAUGGGCUGAAGUCUUUUUACCCAGAAUCCCACACACACCCUUCUGGUUUCAAGGUCUUGAUACACAGUAUUACACAAGGGUGGAUAAAUCAUUAGCCCAGACGCCUGGGAAAAGCAGAUUACACAUCUGGGUGGUCAGUUUUUUUAUUUUUUUUAUUUUUUCCCCCUUGCUCGGUGGCUAGGUGACUCAGUAGACUGAUGGUCUCCAGGAUUUUAUUAUUUUUUUCUUUCAGAGAAGUUUACCAGUCUCUCUAGCAGGCCAUUUGAUACCCUUUUGAAAGCAACACACUCAAACAGAUGAAUGAACUGGUGUCAUGAUUAACAUGUAAACGUCAGAAAGAUGUCGAUCCUGCUUGUUGUUGAUGAAUGACAAUGGGGAAGUUUUACAACGCGAAUACGUAGUCACGUCGCUGGGAAUUGACUCAUCAGUGGCCCGGUGUGCAGUGAGCCAGGACUUUACCAGUGCCCCAACUCGUGUACGCGAUAUACUGAUUCACCACCUAGGGAGUGAGGGAGCUGAUUGAGACACAGCUUUAAUCUUGCUAGCUUUACACCUGACCAUGCGCGUCUGCCCGCAUGAAAACACAAAACCCCGGGAUCCCAGUCCUGAUACAUAUCUGUAUCUGAAUACAGAGACUGUAGAUACUUGGAGUCAAAACCCCAGCGCCUGCUGCACAACAAACACCAACUGGGAAUUAGUCAGGUCAGUUAUAUUAAUACCAGUCUAUAUUACUGACUUUACGAACUAGCGAACUUGCUUAUUAUGCCUGGAGUAAGUUAAUGUAGCUACCAUUUUUAGCCUAGUUUAUGUCGCUAGUCUUUUAUUUUGUGAUAAUAGCAGCACAUAGCAGUGUAUUAUAACACAUAGCAGUGUAUUAUAACAGUGAUAAUAGCAGCACAUAGCAGUGUAUUAUAACACAUAGCAGUGUAUUAUAACAGUGAUAAUAGCAGCACAUAGCAGUGUAUUAUAACAGUGAUAAUAGCAGCACAUAGCAGUGUAUUAUAACACAUAGCAGUGUAUUAUAACACAUAGCAGUGUAUUAUAACACAUAGCAGUGUAUUAUAACAGUGAUAAUAGCAGCACAUAGCAGUGUAUUAUAACAGUGAUAAUAGCAGCACAUAGCAGUGUAUUAUAACACAUAGCAGUGUAUUAUAACAGUGAUAAUAGCAGCACAUAGCAGUGUAUUAUAACAGUGAUAAUAGCAGCACAUAGCAGUGUAUUAUAACAGUGAUAAUAGCAGCACAUAGCAGUGUAUUAUAACAGUGAUAAUAGCAGCACAUAGCAGUGUAUUAUAACAGUGAUAAUAGCAGCACAUAGCAGUGUAUAUUUUCACAUAGCAGUGUAUCAUAACAGUGAUAAUAGCAGCACAUAGCAGUGUAUUAUAACACAUAGCAGUGUAUUAUAACAGUGAUAAUAGCAGCACAUAGCAGUGUAUUAUAACAGUGAUAAUAGCAGCACACAGCAGUGUAUUAUAACAGUGAUAAUAGCAGCACAUACAAAAACAGGACUCGCCUAUCAUAUGUUCUUUGUGAAGUUCAUUGAAAUAGAUAAGUUUUAUACUUCGCUGAGUUUUGUUUGAAGAUCUUGUUGGACUAUUGGAAGAGCAUCAGUCAGUAGAUUAUGUUGGAAGUUUUCAUGUGUAAUCGGCGCUUCUUCUGAGUCAGAGGUUCCGCAGAGCUUCUGCUGUACUGUAAGCGCUAGUGUGCAUGUUGAAGGGUUGUGCUGAUUGAAGAUAGAUUUUCCACUCCAUUUCAGUGUUUUACUGAGACUGCACAUUUCAUCACAUGCGUUUCUGUAUGCCGUAAGGGCCUCUUUAUCACUUCUAUGAGCACUGAAGUGCAGUCAAGGUCAGGACGUUUCAGCGAGGUUGCUCUAAAUGAAGCCGAAAGAGUUGCAACCAGUUUCCUAAUGCUCGUCCUCUAUUUUCCCCCUCAUGUAGUGCUCAGUUUGUGUCUGACUGAGAGAGAGAGAGAGAGAGAGACAGAGUUUUAUACGAUCGAUUGUAAAUAGUGUUGCUGUGUCCCGGCCACGUUGCCAUGGCUCUUAAUUAGAUUACUGAAUACGAGCUUCUUGGUGACGGUUUGAGCAAAAGCAAGUCGAUACAUUAACACAGCCUGCCAUGUCCCAUCACACCGUCCUUUACUAACGCACGCCCCGGCUGAGCAGAGGCCAGAGAGAUGGACCCUGAAAUCAGCACGACAGAAUGAAGAGGAGAGAGAGACAGAGGGUGGGAGAGAGAGGGAGAGAUAGAGAGAGGGAGGGAGAGAGAGAGAGAGA